CACGUAGGGGGCAAGCGUUGUCCGGAUUUAUUGGGCGUAAAGAGCGUGUAGGCGGCCUGGAAGGUCAGCUGUGAAAACUCGAGGCUCAACCUCGAGACGUCGGUUGAAACCACCUGGCUAGAGUCCGGAAGAGGAGAGUGGAAUUCCUGGUGUAGCGGUGAAAUGCGCAGAUAUCAGGAAGAACACCCGUGGCUAAGGCGGCUCUCUAGUACGGUACUGACGCUGAGACGCGAAAGCGUGGGGAGCGAACAGG
rnacentral:rRNA from 1 species